rnacentral:rRNA from 1 species
GGAGCAUGUGGUUAAUUCGAAGCAACGCGAAGAACCUUACCAGGCCUUGACAUGCAGAGAACUUUCCAGAGAUGGAUUGGUGCCUUCGGGAACGUCUGACACAGGUGCUGCAUGGCUGUCGUCAGCUCGUGUCGUGAGAUGUUGGGUUAAGUCCGUAACGAGCGCAACCCUUGUCCUUAGUUACCAGCACGUUAUGGUGGGCACUCUAAGGAGACUGCCGGUGCAAACCGGAGGAAGGUGGGGGUGACGUCAAGUCAUCAUGGCCCUUACGGCCUGGGCUACACACGUGCUACAAUGGUCGGUACAAAGGGUUGCCAAGCCGCGAGGUGGAGCUAAUCCCAUAAAACCGAUCGUAGUCCGGAUCGCAGUCUGCAACUCGACUGCGUGAAGUCGGAAUCGCUAGUAAUCGUGAAUCAGAAUGUCACGGUGAAUACGUUCCCGGGCCUU